CAAACGACCCUUUAGACGUAGCAAAGGGUUCCCAUAGUGGAAACCCUAGCCGUCUCCUCUCUUCUCUCGCAUCUCUGAUGUUACACGCUGGAAAUGGCAAAGAUAAGGACCCGCAUGGGUUCCUCUAGACUUGGUAUAGCCGAGAAUGGCAAGAGCAUUAAGUGCUCUGCCAUUUCUCAACCAAAUCUGUCGAUAUGCCACCCAAACGAGCGUGUGGCUGAGUGUGGAGGAGCAAGGAGGCUGAUCCAAGUCCAUUCUCAACCAAGCUGCGCCAAAGAAAGGCCUGAGGUCCAACCCCUUCCUUGAUCGAGUCCGAAUCUGAGUAAGGGAAGCAAAUAUGUUGAAGGCCCACCUAUAGGUAGAAAUAGGCAACUGGUGGGCUUAGGUAAGCCCACCAGCCCAACUCUUCAUAU